CUCAUGCCAAUGAGUACUCCCCCAAACUAGCACUGCCAGUGUCUUUGAACCUACAGUGAGCCAUCACUGUUCCCUGCAAGAGACCCUCCAAUUCUAGCAGAUUAACUGCUCCUUUUCCUUCACAUUCUGAAGGCCUUCUAAGAAAUUUCCUUCCCAAUUCAUCUGAGAAACCUUCAGAGUGAAAUAUACCAAAAGCUGGAAUGGGACAGUAUUGGAAAUGGAUGCCAUAUUUCAUCAUCUCCUCUGAAGACUAGAUCAUUUAUGAAGUUCUGGUUAACACACCCUUCAUUG